CGGCUGCAGUGGGGAAUCUUAGACAAUGGGCGCAAGCCUGAUCUAGCCAUGCCGCGUGGACGAUGAAGGCCUUAGGGUUGUAAAGUCCUUUCAGAUGGGAAGAUAAUGACGGUACCAUCAGAAGAAGCCCCGGCUAACUCCGUGCCAGCAGCCGCGGUAAUACGGAGGGGGCUAGCGUUGUUCGGAAUUACUGGGCGUAAAGCGCGCGUAGGCGGACUAGUAAGUAAGAGGUGAAAUCCCAGGGCUCAACCCUGGAACUGCCUUUUAAACUGCUAGUCUUGAGUUCGAGAGAGGUGAGUGGAAUUCCGAGUGUAGAGGUGAAAUUCGUAGAUAUUCGGAGGAACACCAGUGGCGAAGGCGGCUCACUGGCUCGAUACUGACGCUGAGGUGCGAAAGCAUGGGGAGCAAACAGGAUUAGAUACCCCAGUAGUC
rnacentral:rRNA from 1 species